UGGCAGCUGUGUGCCAGCAGCGUGGGUAAGAAGUAGGUGGCAGAGGGUGUGCCGAAUGGUUUGGCGUAAAGGGCGCGCAGGCGGUCCUUUAAGUCUGGUGUGAAAGCCCAGGGCUCAAACGUGGAGGGCCAUUGGAAACUGGGGGACUUGAGUACAGAAGGGGAAAGCGGGAUUCCACGUGUAGCGGUGAAAUGCGUAGAGAUGUGGAGGAACACCAGUGGCGAAGGCGGCUUUCUGGUCUGUAACUGACGCUGAGGCGCGAAAGCGUGGGGAGCAAACAGGAUUAGAUACCCCAGUAGC
rnacentral:rRNA from 1 species